ACUCAAAGGAAUAGACGGGGACCCGCACAAGCGGUGGAGCAUGUGGUUUAAUUCGAGGCAACGCGAAGAACCUUACCAGCCCUUGACAUGGACAGUGUGGUCGGCAGAGAUGCCUUCCUUCAGCUUGGCUGGCUGUCACACAGGUGCUGCAUGGCUGUCGUCAGCUCGUGUCGUGAGAUGUUGGGUUAAGUCCCGCAACGAGCGCAACCCUCACCCCCUGUUGCCAGCAGGUUAAGCUGGGCACUCUGGGGGAACUGCCGGUGAUAAGCCGGAGGAAGGCGGGGAUGACGUCAAGUCUUCAUGGCCCUUAUGGGCUGGGCUACACACGUGCUACAAUGGCAGUGACAAUAGGCUGCGACUGCGCGAGCAGGAGCUAAUCCUAGAAAAGCUGCCUCAGUUCGGAUUGCACUCUGCAACUCGAGUGCAUGAAGCUGGAAUCGCUAGUAAUCGCGGAUCAGCACGCCGCGGUGAAUACGUUCCCGGGUCUUGCACACACCGCCCGU
rnacentral:rRNA from 1 species